rnacentral:lncRNA from 1 species
GGGGUAUCUAGUUUAAAAAAUAUGUCCGGUGCCCCGCCCAACCAACCAAGAUGGCCGCCAUGGCUAAAAAUAGAACAUAGGGGUAAAAUGCAGUUUUUGGCUUAUAACUCAAAAACCAAAGCAUUUAGAGCAAAUCUGACGCAGUAAAAUUGUUCAUCAGGUCAAGAUCUAUCUGCCCUGAAAUUUUCAGAUGAAUCGGACAUUCCGUUGUUGGGUUGC